rnacentral:rRNA from 1 species
CAGACGGGUGAGUAACGCGUGGGGAUGUGCCUAGAGGUGGGGAAUAACUGUGGGAAACUACAGCUAAUACCGCAUAAGCCCUUCGGGGGAAAGAUUUAUCGCCUUUAGAUCAACCCGCGUCAGAUUAGCUAGUUGGUAGGGUAAUGGCCUACCAAGGCGACGAUCUGUAGCUGGUCUGAGAGGAUGAUCAGCCACACUGGGACUGAGACACGGCCCAGACUCCUACGGGAGGCAGCAGUGGGGAAUAUUGGACAAUGGGCGCAAGCCUGAUCCAGCCAUGCCGCGUGAGUGAUGACGGCCUUAGGGUUGUAAAGCUCUUUUAACAGGGACGAUAAUGACGGUACCUGUAGAAUAAGCCCCGGCUAACUUCGUGCCAGCAGCCGCGGUAAUACGAAGGGGGCUAGCGUUGUUCGGAAUCACUGGGCGUAAAGCGCACGUAGGCGGAUUGUUAAGUCGGGGGUGAAAUCCUGAGGCUCAACCUCAGAACUGCCUUCGAUACUGGCGAUCUUGAGUUCGGAAGAGGUUGGUGGAACAGCUAGUGUAGAGGUGAAAUUCGUAGAUAUUAGCUAGAACACCAGUGGCGAAGGCGGCCAACUGGUCCGAUACUGACGC